rnacentral:rRNA from 1 species
GAGCUCAAAUUUGAAAUCUGGCGGCAUCCUGUCGUCCGAGUUGUAAUCUAUAGAAGUGUUUUCCGCGUCGGACCAUGUACAAGUCCCUUGGAACAGGGCGUCAUAGAGGGUGAGAAUCCCGUCCUUGACAUGAUCUCCGGUGCUAUGUGAUACACUUUCAACGAGUCGAGUUGUUUGGGAAUGCAGCUCAAAAUGGGUGGUGAAUUCCAUCUAAAGCUAAAUAUUGGCGAGAGACCGAUAGCGAACAAGUACCGUGAGGGAAAGAUGAAAAGCACUUUGGAAAGAGAGUUAAACAGUACGUGAAAUUGUUGAAAGGGAAACGAUUGAAGUCAGUCAUGCUCUUUGGGUUAAGCCUUUCGGGGUGUAUUCCAUUGAGUGGGGUCAACAUCAGUUUUGACCGCUGGAAAAAGGCACGAGGAAGGUAGCACUCUCGGGUGAACUUAUAGCCUCGCGUCAUAUACAGUGGUUGGGAAUGAGGAACGCAGCAUGCCUUAUGGCCGGGAUUCGUCCACGUACAUGCUUAGGAUGUUGACAUAAUGGCUUUAAACGACCCGUCUUGAAACACGGACC